ACUCUUUGUUUUGGCAGAGCUUAUACUAAAAUUGGAGUAAUACAAAGAAAAUUCAUUAUUAGCAUGGUCUCUGCAAAAGGGUGGCAUGCACAUCUGUGACAGGUUCACAUUCUUA
ensembl:snRNA U6 U6 spliceosomal RNA